AUUGAACGCUGGCGGCAGGCCUAACACAUGCAAGUCGAGCGGAUGAAGGGAGCUUUCUCCUGUCUUCAGCGGCGGACGGGUGAGUAAUGCCUAGGAAUCUGCCUGGUAGUGGGGGAUAACGUCCGUACACGGGCGCUAAUACCGCAUACGUCCUGAGGUAGAAAGUGGGGGAUCUUCGGACCUCACGCUAUCAGAUGAGCCUAGGUCGGAUUAGCUAGUUGGUGGGGUAAAGGCCUACCAAGGCGACGAUCCGUAACUGGUCUGAGAGGAUGAUCAGUCACACUGGAACUGAGACACGGUCCAGACUCCUACGGGAGGCAGCAGUGGGGAAUAUUGGACAAUGGGCGAAAGCCUGACGCAGCCAUGCCGCGUGUGUGAAGAAGGUCUUCGGAUUGUAAAGCACUUUAAGUUGGGAGGAAGGGCAGUAAGUUAAUACAUGGCUGUUUUGACGUUACCAACAGAAUAAGCACCGGCUAACUUCGUG
rnacentral:rRNA from 1 species